rfam:Ovis aries breed Texel chromosome 10, whole genome shotgun sequence.
UCCCUAGUGGUCUAGUGGUUAAGACUCUGUGCUUUCAAUGCAGGAGACUCGGAGUUCAAUCCCUAGCCAGGGAA